CUCAUUGACACACACACACUACAGACACACUCACUGAAACGCACAAGUUCACCACAACCUCACUGACACAAAUACACAAAACCUCUCUGACUUGCACAAGCUCACUACAGACAAGCUCACUGACACACACAAGCUACAGACAAGCUCACUGACAGAAACUAGCUCAUUACAAACAAGGUCACAGACACACAUCCAAGCUAUUUGACCCAUACACAAGCAUUCUACAGACAAGCUCACUGACACACUGUCAGGAUUACUAAGUGAUCUAGCACGCAGAAUAAUAUCACACCUAGGACUAAGGAGAACAUAUAACCAGACUCUAGAAUGGCUGGAUUUAACGUAUCCUAGAAUAGUCAGAAUACUUGCCGAGGUCAGGGAUACAGAACGAGACACAACGAUGAGGGAAAGCCAAAAGUCAAGGAUACCAGAGAUCAGGGAAGUCAAAC